CCUACGGGGGGCUGCAGUGGGGAAUAUUGGGCAAUGGGGGCAACCCUGAUCCAGCCAUGCCGCGUGUGUGAAGAAGGCCCUCGGGUUGUAAAGCACUUUCAGUGAGGAAGAACGCCUGGUGGUUAAUACCCAUCAGGAAAGACAUCACUCACAGAAGAAGCACCGGCUAACUCCGUGCCAGCAGCCGCGGUAAUACGGAGGGUGCGAGCGUUAAUCGGAAUUACUGGGCGUAAAGCGCGCGUAGGUGGCUUGAUAAGCCGGUUGUGAAAGCCCCGGGCUCAACCUGGGAACGGCAUCCGGAACUGUCAAGCUAGAGUGCAGGAGAGGAAGGUAGAAUUCCCGGUGUAGCGGUGAAAUGCGUAGAGAUCGGGAGGAAUACCAGUGGCGAAGGCGGCCUUCUGGACUGACACUGACACUGAGGUGCGAAAGCGUGGGUAGCAAACAGGAUUAGAUACCCCGGUAGUC
rnacentral:rRNA from 1 species